rnacentral:rRNA from 1 species
UUCCGGUUGAUCCUGCCGGAGGCUACCGCUAUUGGAGUUCGAUUAAGCCAUGCGAGUCCAGAGCUUUCGGAGCUCGGCGUACCGCUCAGUAACACGUGGGUAACCUAACCUAUGCAGGGGAAUAACCUCGGGAAACUGAGUAUAAUGCCCCAUAGUCCACUACGCCUGGAACGGUGAGUGGAUCAAAGCUCAGGCGGCAUAGGAUGGGCCUGCGGCGUAUCAGGUUGUAGGGGGUGUAAAGUACCCUCUAGCCAUCUACGCGUACGGGUGUUGGGAGACAUAGCCCGGAGAUGGAUUCUGAGACACGAAUCCAGACCCUACGGGGUGCAGCAGGCGCGAAAACUUGACAAUGCGAGCAAUCGUGAUCAGGGAACUCCAAGUGGCUGGGGUAAGACCCAGUCUUUUCAUAACUCUUCAAAGGUUGUAGAAUAAGGGGUGGGUAAGGACGGUGCCAGCCGCCGCGGUAAUACCGGCGCCUCAAGUGGUAGUCGCUUUUAUUGGGCCUAAAACGUCCGUAGCCGGUUUGGUACAUUCGUGGGUAAAUCAACUCGCUCAACGAGUUGAAUUCUGCGAGGACGGCCAAACUUGGGACCGGGAGAGGUGUGGGGUACUCUCAGGGUAGGGGUAAAAUCCUGUCAUCCUGAGAGGACCACCUGUUGCGAAGGCGCCACACUAGAACGGAUCCGACGGUCAGGGACGAAGCCUAGGGGCACGAACCGGAUUAGAUACCCGGGUAGUCCUAGGUGUAAACGCUGUGGACUUGAUGUUGGAGAAGCUCCGAGCUUCUUCAGUGUCGAAGCGAAGGUGAUAAGUCCACUGCCUGGGAAGUACGGUCGCAAGGCUGAAACUUAAAGGAAUUGGCGGGGGAGCACCGCAACCUGAGGAUUGUGCGGUUUAAUUGGAUUCAACGCCGG